CUACGGGGGGCUCCAGUAAGGAAUAUUGCGCAAUGGAGGCAACUCUGACGCAGCCAUGCCGCGUGCAGGAAGAAGGCCUUAUGGGUCGUAAACUGCUUUUAUUUAGGAAUAAACCCCCGAACGUGUUCGGGGCUGAAGGUACUAAACGAAUAAGCACCGGCUAACUCCGUGCCAGCAGCCGCGGUAAUACGGAGGGUGCAAGCGUUAUCCGGAUUUAUUGGGUUUAAAGGGUGCGCAGGCGGGCUAUUAAGUCAGUGGUGAAAUCCCGGGGCUCAACUCCGGAACUGCCAUUGAUACUGAUAGUCUUGAGUUUGGUUGAAGUGGGCGGAAUGUAGCAUGUAGCAGUGAAAUGCAUAGAUAUGCUACAGAACACCAAUCGCGAAGGCAGCUCACUAAGCCAAAACUGACGCUCAUGCACGAAAGCGUGGGGAUCAAACAGGAUUAGAUACCCUCGUAGUC
rnacentral:rRNA from 1 species